rnacentral:lncRNA from 1 species
GUUCAGUCAUUUCAGUUGUGUUCAACUCUUCAUGACCCCAUUUGGGGUUUUUUUGGCAAAGAUAUUACAGUGGUUUGUCAUUUCCUUUUCCAGGUCAUCUUACAUAUAAGGAAACUGAGACAAACUGUGUUUCUCAGGAUCACACAGCUAGUCUGAGUCUGUGCUGCCUAGGAGAGACAUGGAUGGAGGCCCUGGUUUUUGGAAGGAACAGAUGGAAGAUGGAAGUAAAGAGUCUUACCAAAAUAGCUCCACUGGGGAAAGAGAGACCCAAAUUACCAUGCUGUCUUCUGAUUUGGGACUUCCACCAACCCAGAUCAGCAUCCUUCUUCUUUAGCCAUCACCUCCCCCAAAGCUCUUCUGUCUAAUCUACCAAAGGAAACUCCUUCCAACCACAGGCUGGCUAUCUCUUCAUUUCUCAGCCCAGACCUCCAUCAUGUCUUGCUGCCAGAAAGGAAAGCUUUGUCCGAGCCAACGAGAGGCCAUUCCCACCAGGGACAUCUACGUGGACAGAGAAGAGCCGGCUCUCCUUUGCAGUGCCAGGAAGAGAGAGAGAAUAGCUUCCUAAUCCUUAUCACUGGACCCAUCCAGCACCAGGAGGGGGAUCUCCUCCAAUUUCUCCCCUUCGUCCGAACACUCCGAAUAGCCUCGCCUCCAGAUGCUGAGCAUCCUGAAGAAUCUCCGGAAGGAAGGGUGGACCCAUGGACCUCUCUCCUUCUUCCCUUGCUUGCCCUGGCGGCGGUAUUUCUUAGCUUUUUUCCUCCGGGGUACUCGGGGUGCCCCCAUCUUGAAGAAUCUGCCCCACCACCAGCAACUGGAGGCAUUCCCUUCUCCCGAGGUCUGGGGAGCUGCUCUCCGGGGCACGUGCAGCUGCCCGUUGGAGAACGCUUGAGUGGCCACCUUCCAGCUGAGGCUCUGCUCCUUCAGGCGGAUCAUCUUCUCCAUCAAGGGUCGCACAUUCAGGCACAGGUUGGUGUGAGUACUCUCUGCCAUGCUUCUGGGACUCCUAGGUGGUCCUUCAAAGUCUGUCUCCUGCAGAAAGCCUCCAGAGAGUCAUUGAUUAGGGUCAGGGAUGCUUUUCAGCAUGAGAAACCAAAGCUGAAUGGAGUAGACCCAAUUUGCAAGGUCUGACUGCAGCAGUCGGUUUACCUCUAGAACAAAGGCAAGUAACUGCCUUUACUCCCCCCCUCCCCAGAUCCCACAAAGACCUUGGUGGGAGAGUCUAAGUCACG